rnacentral:ncRNA from 1 species
ACUCUAGUCCGACUUUGUGAAAUGACUUGAGAGGUGUAGUAUAAGAGGGAGCUGAAAGGCGAAAGUGAAAUACCACUACUUUUAAUGUUAUUUAACUUAUUCCGUGAAUCGGAAGCGGGGCACUGCCCCUCUUUUUGGACAAAAGGCUCGCUUCGCGGGCCGAUCCGGGCAGAAGACAUUGUAUGGUGGGGAGUUUGGCUGGGGCGGCACAUCUAUUAAAAAAUAACGUAGGUGUCCUAAUAUAAGCUCAACGAGAACAGAAAUCUCGUGUGGAACAGAAGGGUAAAAGCUCGUUUGAUUCUGAUUUCCAGUACGAAUACGAACUAUAAAAGUGUCGCGGGCGUGUUUUUUUAAACGCCCAGCG